UUUAGAGUUUNNNNNCCCCGUCAGGACGANCGCUGGCGGCGUGCCUAAUACAUGCAAGUCGAACGCUUCUUUUCCCACCGGAGCUUGCUCCACCGGGAAAAGAGGAGUGGCGAACGGGUGAGUAACACGUGGGUAACCUGCCCAUCAGAAGGGGAUAACACUUGGAAACAGGUGCUAAUACCGUAUAACAAUCGAAACCGCAUGGUUUCGUUUUGAAAGGCGCUUUACGGUGCCGCUGAUGGAUGGACCCGCGGUGCAUUAGCUAGUUGGUGAGGUAACGGCUCACCAAGGCCACGAUGCAUAGCCGACCUGAGAGGGUGAUCGGCCACAUUGGGACUGAGACACGGCCCAAACUCCUACGGGAGGCAGCAGUAGGGAAUCUUCGGCAAUGGACGAAAGUCUGACCGAGCAACGCCGCGUGAGUGAAGAAGGUUUUCGGAUCGUAAAACUCUGUUGUUAGAGAAGAACAAGGGUGAGAGUAACUGUUCACCCCUUGACGGUAUCUAACCAGAAAGCCACGGCUAACUACGUGCCAGCAGCCGCGGUAAUACGUAGGUGGCAAGCGUUGUCCGGAUUUAUUGGGCGUAAAGCGAGCGCAGGCGGUUUCUUAAGUCUGAUGUGAAAGCCCCCGGCUCAACCGGGGAGGGUCAUUGGAAACUGGGAGACUUGAGUGCAGAAGAUGA
rnacentral:rRNA from 1 species